CCCCACGUUCGGAUUGCAGGCUGAAAUUCGCCUGCAUGAAGCCGGAAUUGCUAGUAAUGGCAGGUCAGCAUACUGCCGUGAAUACGUUCCCGGGCCUUGUACACACCGCCCGUCACACCAUGAGAGUUGGGGAUACCCGAAGCCUGUGAGCCAACAAUAUAUUGAGGCAGCAGUCGAAGGUAGAAUCAAUGAUUGGGGUGAAGUCGUAACAAGGUACC
rnacentral:rRNA from 1 species